rnacentral:rRNA from 1 species
UAAGGAAUAUUGGACAAUGGAGGUAACUCUGAUCCAGCCACGCCGCGUGAAGGAAUAAGGCCCUAUGGGUUGUAAACUUCUUUUAGACGGGACAAAACCCCUUUACGUGUAAAGGGUUGAUGGUACUAUCAGAAUAAGCAUCGGCUAACUUCGUGCCAGCAGCCGCGGUAAUACGAAGGAUGCAAGCGUUAUCCGGAAUUAUUGGGUUUAAAGGGUGCGUAGGCGGACUAAUAAGUCAGUGGCGAAAGCCUGCAGCUUAACUGCAGAAUUGCCAUUGAUACUGUUAGUCUUGAGUACAGUUGAGGUAGGCGGAAUGUGUCAUGUAGCGGUGAAAUGCUUAGAUAUGACACAGAACACCGAUUGCGAAGGCAGCUUGCUAAGCUGUAACUGACGCUGAGGCACGAAAGCGUGGGGAGCAAACA